GGUUCGAUGGCGUAGUUGGUUAUCGCAUCUGUCUAACAUCCUGCUGCGCGCCAAUGCUUCACAGAAGGUCCCCGGUUCGAGCCCGGGUCGAAUCA